rfam:Ascaris suum AG00314, whole genome shotgun sequence.
GGGGAUAUAGCUCAGGUAUUAGAGCGCUCCCUUCGCAUGGGAGAGGGGCUGGGGUUCAAUUCCCCAUAUCUCCA